GCACCUCAGCAAACCCUGUCCUCCUGUCUGUGUUGGACAUGGCCAAUGAUGGUGCCAUAGUGACUCAAAGUAUAUCCAGGUGGACCUCCCUCUGGAGUCUGCCUCUACAGCUUUUACACAGUU
ensembl:snoRNA